AGAAUAUGAUCUGAUCAAUCCCAAAUUGUACAGAUUCCUUCUCACUAAGCUCCCAAGUGAUAACAACACUGUCCCAGCAACUCCUACCCCUUGCUCUUCCCUUUCGGCCUCUUGAUGGUAUACAAGUGGUGGCAGUUCCUUCACUUUCAAUUUACUCAAUCCAAUUUUUUGCCGAACUGAGUCAAUUAUCUUAGGAUCUGCUGGGAUACCAAUUGCAUCUGUUACGUAGAAUACAUUUGCAGCCAUCUCUCUAGAGGUGGAAAUUUCGGCCCUUGUCACAUUGAGACCAUUCUCUCUAAAUGUUCUUGUCACAUCUGCUAAAAGACCCUGUCUAUCUGGGGUGCAUAAUUCUAGCGUUACACCCUCAGAUGCUCUUCUCUCAACUGCAGCU
rnacentral:misc_RNA from 1 species